GUGCUUGCCUCAGCAGCACAUAUACUAAAAUUGGAACGAUACAGAGAAGAUUAGCAUGGCCCCUGCGCAAGGACGACUUCUUUUAAUUUUUUUAAAUAAAAUAAAUUU
ensembl:snRNA U6 U6 spliceosomal RNA